CCUACGGGAGGCAGCAGUGGGGAAUAUUGGACAAUGGGGGCAACCCUGAUCCAGCCAUGCCGCGUGUGUGAAGAAGGCCCUCGGGUUGUAAAGCACUUUCAGUGAGGAAGAACGCCUGGUGGUUAAUACCCAUCAGGAAAGACAUCACUCACAGAAGAAGCACCGGCUAACUCCGUGCCAGCAGCCGCGGUAAUACGGAGGGUGCGAGCGUUAAUCGGAAUUACUGGGCGUAAAGCGCGCGUAGGUGGCUUGAUAAGCCGGUUGUGAAAGCCCCGGGCUCAACCUGGGAACGGCAUCCGGAACUGUCAAGCUAGAGUGCAGGAGAGGAAGGUAGAAUUCCCGGUGUAGCGGUGAAAUGCGUAGAGAUCGGGAGGAAUACCAGUGGCGAAGACGGCCUUCUGGACUGACACUGACACUGAGGUGCGAAAGCGUGGGUAGCAAACAGGAUUAGAUACCCCUGUAGUC
rnacentral:rRNA from 1 species